GGAAUAUUGGACAAUGGGCGCAAGCCUGAUCCAGCAACGCCGCGUGGAGGACGAAGGUCUUCGGAUCGUAAACUCCUGUCAGGCGGGACGAAGGUGCGUCGGCGAACAGUCGGCGUGCUUGACGGUACCGCCAGAGGAAGCCCCGGCUAACUCCGUGCCCGCAGCCGCGGUAAUACGGAGGGGGCGAGCGUUAUUCGGAAUUAUUGGGCGUAAAGGGCGCGUAGGCGGCUUGAUAAGUCAAAGGUGAAAUCCCUCGGCUCAACUGAGGAAUUGCCUUUGAAACUGUCUGGCUUGAGUCCGGGAGGGGGUAGCGGAAUUCCCAGUGUAGCGGUGAAAUGCGUAGAUACUGGGAGGAACACCAGUGGCGAAGGCGGCUACCUGGACCGGUACUGACGCUGAUGCGCGAAAGCGUGGGGAGCAAA
rnacentral:rRNA from 1 species